rnacentral:rRNA from 1 species
UACAGAGGUCUCGAGCGUUAGGCGGAAUCACUGGGCUUAAAGCGUGUGUAGGUGGAUCGGUAAGUACCUUGUGAAAUCCCACAGCUUAACUGUGGAACUGCUUGGUAUACUGCCAGUUUUGAGCCAGCUAGGGGCUACCGGAACAAAUGGUGGAGCGGUGAAAUGCGUAGAUAUCAUUUGGAACGCCAAUGGUGAAAACAGGUAGCUGGGGCUGUGCUGACACUGAGACACGAAAGCCAGGGGAGCAAACGGG